UUAGCCAUCUAGAAACUGCUCUCAGAGAAACUAGCAUUUCUAGAGCAAUAGUUCCUAACUCUUGGGAAAGGGGAAAAGGGGUUCCAAGGAGAAAUCAAAUCCCUUAUUUUCAGGGUGUUUUAUCUGUCAAUCGACAAGAACUACAAAAGGAGACUGGCUGGCACAGUGGUAGACUACUUGCCUAGCACAUGGAGAGACCUAAAUUCAGUCCCCAGAUCCAGCAGAGUGAAAGAAAAAACCGGAUUGCAUUUAAUUCAUUUGUUCUGAAUUCAACUGACUGCCAAUUAAGUGUAUUCUGAAAAAUUGUGUUAAACAUGCAGAUAUUUUUCUUGUCCUUCUCUACACAUUUCAACUAACUAACAUCAUAUUUGGUAAUAUACUCCAGAGAUAAUUUAAGUAUCUGAAAUCAGUCAGGUCAUGGGGGUUUCCAACUAAAGUCACAGUUACUGGAAGGCUGAGGCAAGAGGAUCAACCCAGGCCAGCCAGAGUAACAAGAAGAUUCUCUCUCAUUAAUACAGACCAGACCUACAAUCAUAGCUAUUCAGACAGUUGAGGCAGGAGGAUCAAAAUUUUAAGGCCUAUCUGGGCCUCAGAUAAAAUGAUGCUGAGCAUGCCUGAGCAACUUAGACCUUCUUUAAAAAACAAAAUACAAAAAUGGCUGUGCAUAGUCCCAGUACUUGAGAGUAAGAGGCAGAUCUCUGAAUUCCAGGCUGGCUUGAUCUCCGUAGUUCCAGGACAGCCAGCACCACAUAUUGAGACCCUGAAUCAAAAAAACAAAAAACAAAACAAAAAAACCACAACCAAAUAAAACUCAGAAAGGAUUAGCGAUGUAGUUCAGAGGUAUUUGCCUAGCAGCCAUGAGGCCCUAAAGCCCUAGUACUGCAAAACAAAAACUAAGUAAACUGAAAGUAACCCACCCCUGUGAUUCCACUACUCAGUAUUAAGGAACAAAAACCUAGCUGAAAGCUGGAUUCACUGGAGUGAGAUGUCAGUGUGAAACCUGCCUGCAUUCUUUCAGGUUAUAGGCAGUUUUAGUAACCUAGGAACUGGGACAGGAUUGCAAGUUAAAGGCCUUUCUCCAACAGGAAAACCAAGUUUUUCUUACACGUGAGUACUGUGCCACUAAGUAGAAGAGCCUUGAGCAGGCAGGAGAGAUGGCUCAGUGUUAAAAGCAUUUGUUCCUUCAGAGGAUCCAGGUUCAAUUCUCAGAAUUCAAACACAACCCUCUAUAACAGGAUCCCAGACCUUAACACAGCGGGCUCCAUUGAUGACAGUGCCAUUCAGGCCAAAAAAUUCAGCAAACAGUACCACCACUUGCCUAAAUGAAAAAGACCAAAUCCAUCAGA
rnacentral:lncRNA from 1 species